GUAGGGUGCGAGCGUUAAUCGGAAUUACUGGGCGUAAAGCGUGCGCAGGCGGUUCGUUAAGUUCGUUGUGAAAGCCCCGGGCUCAACCUGGGAACUGCAAUGGAAACUGGCGGGCUUGAGUGUGGCAGAGGGGGGUGGAAUUCCGCGUGUAGCAGUGAAAUGCGUAGAGAUGCGGAGGAACACCGAUGGCGAAGGCAGCCCCCUGGGCCAACACUGACGCUCAGGCACGAAAGCGUGGGGAGCAAACAGGAUUAGAUACCCUGGUAGUCCACGCCCUAAACGAUGCUCACUAGGUGUUGGGGAAGCGAUUCCUUGGUACCGUAGCUAACGCGUGAAGUGAGCCGCCUGGGGAGUACGGCCGCAAGGKUA
rnacentral:rRNA from 1 species